GUUUUGGGCUGAGCGUUUUGGCAAACAGUUUCUAGGCAUGACUGAUUUGUGGGUCAAACACUGUGGGAUUAGCCAUACUGGUAGUUUUAAGGAUCUUGGGAUGACUGUUUUGGUGAGUCAAGUUAAUCGGUUGCGCAAAAUGCAUAAACCGGUCGUCGGUGUGGGGUGUGCUUCUACUGGAGACACAUCUGCGGCCCUGUCGGCUUACUGUGCAUCUGCAGGCAUUCCAUCAAUUGUGUUUUUACCUGCAAAUAAGAUAUCUAUGGCGCAACUGGUUCAACCAAUAGCCAAUGGGGCCUUUGUGUUGAGUAUCGACACUGAUUUUGAUGGUUGUAUGCAGUUGAUUCGCGAAGUCACAGCUGAGUUGCCAAUUUACUUGGCUAAUUCCUUAAACAGUUUGAGGCUAGAAGGACAAAAGACUGCAGCAAUAGAGAUACUGCAGCAGUUUGAAUGGGAAGUUCCAGACUGGGUGAUAGUUCCCGGUGGUAACCUGGGCAAUAUAUAUGCAUUUUACAAAGGUUUCCACAUGUGCAAGGAGCUGGGGCUUGUUGAUCGUAUCCCAAGACUUG
rnacentral:misc_RNA from 1 species